rnacentral:rRNA from 1 species
UACAGAGGGUGCAAGCGUUGUUCGGAAUUAUUGGGCGUAAAGCGCGUGUAGGCGGCUUUGCAAGUCGGGUGUGAAAUCUCGGGGCUUAACUCCGAAACUGCAUUCGAUACUGCCGUGCUUGAGGACUGGAGAGGAGACUGGAAUUCCUGGUGUAGCGGUGAAAUGCGCAGAUAUCAGGAGGAACACCGGUGGCGAAGGCGGGUCUCUGGGCCGAUACUGACGCUGAGGAGCGAAAGCGUGGGGAGCGAACAGG